rnacentral:rRNA from 1 species
AUUGAACGCUGGCGGCAGGCCUAACACAUGCAAGUCGAGCGGAGCGGCGGACGGGUGAGUAAUGCCUAUGAAUCUGCCUGGUAGUUGGGGAUAACGUCCGGAAAGGGGCGCUAAUACCUACUGCUAUCAGAUGAGCCUAGGUGGGAUUGGAUAGUUGGGGGGGUAAAGGCCUACCCAGGCGACGAUCCAUAACUGGGUUGCGAGGAUGAUCAGUCACACUGGAACUGAGACACGGUCCAGACUCCUACGUGAGGCAGCAGUGGGGAAUAUUGCACAAUGGGCGCAAGCCUGAUGCAGCCAUGCCGCGUGUAUGAAGAAGGCCGUAGGGUUGUAAAGUACUUUCAGCGGGGAGGCGUUACCCGCAGAAGAAGCACCGGCUAACUCCGUGCCAGCAGCCGCGGUAAUUC